rnacentral:rRNA from 1 species
GCCCUUAGAGUUUGAUCCUGGCUCAGAUUGAACGCUGGUGGUAUGCUUAACACAUGCAAGUCGAACGGUAGCAGGUACUUCGGUAUGCUGACGAGUGGCGGACGGGUGAGUAACGCGUAGGAAUCUACCUAUCUGUGGGGGAUACCGUUUGGAAACGAACGUUAAUACCGCAUAAUGUCUACGGACUAAAGGUGGCACUUCGGUGCUGUCGCGGAUAGAUGAGCCUGCGUUAGAUUAGCUUGUUGGUAGGGUAAGGGCCUACCAAGGCUACGAUCUAUAGCUGAUUUGAGAGGAUGAUCAGCCACAUUGGAACUGAGACACGGUCCAAACUCCUACGGGAGGCAGCAGUGGGGAAUAUUGGACAAUGGGCGAAAGCCUGAUCCAGCAAUACCAUGUGUGUGAAGAAGGCUCUAGGGUCGUAAAGCACUUUAGUCAGGGAGGAAGGCCUUGUCGUUAAUAGCGGCAAGGAUUGACGUUACCUGAAGAAUAAGCACCGGCUAACUCCGUGCCAGCAGCCGCGGUAAUAAGGGCG